CUAGAAAAACAGGACAUGAACCUGCACCAAAAGACUCAAAAUCUUCCGUACAACAUUAUACUAUUUUCUA
rnacentral:tRNA from 1 species